ensembl:lncRNA
CCACUGGAAGCCACGCCCCCUUCCUAAUCUAACAAUUUAUUUACAAAUAUAUCUUCAUUUAAACGGACGGCUCGGAGGGAAGUAUUCUGAAAAGCGGGAGAUGAGAGUCCGGCGUCGGCGCGAACCCCUUCAAUACCGUUUAAAAAUCAUCUCGGGGAAAUUCCUCAAGAGCUCGCGCGAGGAAACGCCGAGAAGGCAUUUCUGCAAAUUCUAGGCGAAAAGGGCGUCGACUUCGAAGACGCUAAAACACCGGGCGAUUUAGAUUUAUUUUGGAUUUUUUUAAUCACGACAUAAUUCCCAGAGUUCCGUUUGUGCUCCUCCAGAGUUUUGAUUUCGAAAUGAAGCUGCUCGAAUUACAAAAUGAGUUUAAUGUCCGUGAAACAUUUCAAUAGAAUAUGUACAAAAUUAGUAGCAUUAAAAAAAAAGAAAACAAACCUUUAUGAUUAAAAAUGGUAGAAACUUUUAGUCGGUGUGAGUAUAGGGUAAGAGUUCCCCUAGAGGAGCAAACCAAGGUACCUUAAAAUGCUUUAGGUGGAACCUUUACUGUACUAACAGUGGAGCUCCCGGUUGAAGUUUACGUCCCAGCUUCACCGAAGUGCCCGAGGCAGUGCCCGAGUCAGUGCCCGAGUCAGUGCCCGAGUCAGUGCCCGAGUCAGUGCCCGAGUCAGUGCCCGAGUCAGUGCCCGAGGUUCUUCACCCUGAUCUGCUCAGCUGUCCACUCUUAAAUUCAGAACCGUUGAGGGUUCUUCAGUUCCCUCUGAACACCCCCUUGAAAGUUCUACACAGAACCGUGCACCACAGUGUUCACUAAGAACCCGUAACUAUCGUAAAGAACCCGUUGUGCGUGUGGAAGCGUCCAGGCUCGGAGCACACGUCGGUAUUUUCUUCAUAUCUGUUCAGCAGCAGCUUGUGUUCAUGCAAACGAUGUGGUGUCUGGGAGGAAGUUAGCACGGAGAGCUUCCACUGCGGGGUGGAUUUGCAUGUGGAGGCGUGACCGGGAGCGUGGCGCUCGUCACCGGCCGCUCAGUUUCCUAAAACCUCCCCCGCUUUCAUUCCGUUCUCUUUUUCCAUCGCGUACGUUUUUAAAAUGUAUUCAUUUAAUAUGUUCGAUUCGUUUGAGUCGACGUCUCGGCGGUUUGAAACACGCCGCACCGUUCGCACGCGUGCGUUUGUCCGCGGCUCAGAGAUUCGAUGUGUACUUACUGAAGAAUCACCAGAACAUUAUGAUUGUAAUUAGCGAUCGGUUCGUAGCGGGUCAAUAUUUACCUUUUCAUUUAAGCUCGACGACGAAUUUCUGCACGGUUUCUACGCACCGCUUUCCCACACCGGAAACUCUGCUCUCCUCGAAUGUAAUUACGGCGUUUAAGGUCAAACAAAUGGCGGAGAGGGCGUAAAUAUUUUUUCUCAUUUGUUAUUUAUAAAAAUGUCGUGGCUGAGAAAAGGCAUGUAGAAAAGUAAAGUUUUACGGUAAGUGACACGGGAUAUUUAUUUUUCCGGAUGGAGAGACGAUCCGGUUUUCCGCCAGCAGCUCUGAUGGUAUAGAUGUAAUAGCUGGUGGUAGCUACAGUAAUGGAAUAACGUGGGACCAGCUAGCCCGUGAAGUGCGUCGGCGGACUGAACGUAUACGGCAUUAAUCUAACCGCGUCUGUGCUUCGACCCGACGUCAGACGGUGGUCUGUGAACGUUUCAGCCACAACCGAAAAACCUUUUAUUUCAUUCAUUAAUCAUUUCCUCAGAAUCUGGCGGCUAGCAUGUUUAUGUCCUCCGCUUCUGUAAGCGUCAGCUGACGUGUUUUGCAUGUCGUAUGAGCUUUGCGCAGGACUUUAUUUUGCUUUCCAGCGUCUUCUCAAACGAGAUGUUGACAUGGUUUAUGUACGCUGGUGAAUCCGAUCGGGGGGAAGUCGGACCAGCGUUAAGCAGAUCGUAUCUCCGCAGGGGCGCGAUUCGGUACGACGUAGCGCUACGUUUCAGUCAGAAUAUCUCGAAGGUCGAACCGGUCUAAAGCAGUAGACCGCUUCAGGGCAGGAGUUACAGUGAGAA